UACGGGGGGGGCAAGCGUUGUUCGGAAUUACUGGGCGUAAAAGGCUCGUAGGCGGCCAACUAAGUCGGAUGUGAAAUCCCCAGGCUUAACCUGGGAACUGCAUCCGAUACUGGAUGGCUUGAAUCCGGGAGAGGGAUGCAGAAUUCCAGGUGUAGCGGUGAAAUGCGUAGAUAUCUGGAGGAAUACCGGUGGCGAAGGCGGCAUCCUGGACCGGCAUUGACGCUGAGGAGCGAAAGUGUGGGGAGCGAACAGG
rnacentral:rRNA from 1 species